CAUUAGUUGUUUUUUUUUCAAUCACAAUUAGUGUCAAAUCGUUUCAUUAAUUUUUUUUUAGACUUUAUUCUCAUAAGGAUUUCAAGGAUUAAACGACAAAGGCUGGCCAAUGUACAUGAAAGUGGAGCAGAAACGAAUUCCGGGACGAUGUCAUGGUCGUUAUAAAAUAUUGCUUCAGCGGACAACAAAUUCAACGUAAUAGACGCAUACUUGAUUAGGGUCCAGGGGUCAGCCAAUAGUCAGAUCGAUACAGAGCAUCCAGAACGGUGACGCUUCAGUAGCGGCCGCAGUCUUAACCAUGUAUCUUCUGAGACUUAUUCAAUAGGACUUAUGGAUAGAGACACACAGAGAUACAUUGAACCUCUGCACUUCCUCCCUAUUAGAUGUUCAACAUGUUGUAGACAGCAAGAAGAACUGUGAGUGAAACCAGUCAUUAGAACUUCUUUCACGUGAAGCCAAACCAGCAUUUCAAAGGUCUAAAAGGAGUCCACUUUGUUGACAUGUACACUUCAGACAUUUUGCAAUGACAUGGAACAAGGAAGUAACUCUAGGUUGAAUCAAGUCUAAACUAUUUAUAGCAACAGCUUUCCGGUAAAUUAGCGCUUGUAUUUUUUAAAAAUAACACGACGGACCAGUUGGAACCUCAAAUUAAAUGCAUUUAUUUUUACUUAGUAAUUAUCGCUUACAGUAGAUAGUGAAUUAGCUUCCAUAGAGCUAGGUGAUGUUAAGGUUGUUAGUUUGGUCUACGUGAAGUCCAUUGCAAGCCAAAACGUGUGCGGCUAUUACUUAGAAUUAAUUUUCCAACGAACCAAGUCUUAGGAUAAACUGGCUGUCGCAGGACAUAAAAAUAGCUACUCUUGAAGGAUAAAGACACUAUGAGGUGGGUCUCCACGAAGUAGCUCAUCUUAUUAUGAAGACAUUGAGGAGAGAAUAACACUUGUGUGUCAGCAAUUAUUGUAAUACUUUCUUCAAAAAAUAAUCUUAUCUUAUAUGAUACAGACGUUACUUCAAAAAAAGAAGAUGAUUACGUCCUACGCGUCAUGCAUUUAGUCAUGCAUAUUAACCAAUGACCUAAAUUCUGCCAAGUCACUGGUUUUCCUGGCUAGCUCAGGCAACCCAUUCCAUGCUCUAAUAGCGCUAGGGAAGAAGGAGCUUUUGUACAAAUUUGUCCUAGCAUAUCGAACGAGGAAUGUGCCUUUAUCUUUGUGUCUUUCUGCAGGGAAAUAAUUUAGGCUAUAACAUAGAAAGAAAAGAGACGAAGGAAAAGAUAGAAAAUAAUAAAGAAUAAAAAUGUAAGCGAGAAGGGGGGGGGGCGUAGAGAGAGACACACACACACAUACAGAGAAAACAGCGAUAAGAAUAACACAACAAUAAAAACAACAACAACAACAACAACAUCAACAACGUAAUUACUUUUGGAAACAAAGAUGUUCAGCUGAAGUAGUCUUGUGAAAGAUAUUGUCAGAGAUGUUCACAUCAAUAAACACGUCGGUAAAAACCAACAGACUUUUUUAUGUAUAGAAAAUCUUGUGAGAGAAUGAGUAGAUCCUAAUGUUUAUAUUUCUGACUCGCUACAUAUGAUGACACUACAAGGAGCCAUGAAAAGUUUAUUUUCCUGUCAUUCAUCAUUAAACGAAACCCAACAUACAAGAGCUCGGUAAUAGAUAUGUUUUGGGACCUAAAUAGAUGACCUUCUUUCUACAGAGGGUUCCAAACACAAAGUAAGUAAAGCCACUUUGUUUUGUCUAUUUCGAAACUGAUCGAGAGAGGUCAAUAUUGACCAAUUUAAGGUCAUGGUAAAAAUACUCUAAAAUGUACCCCUCCUGUUUAAAAGCCUUGACACCUCAGCGGACAAAAAGACAAACCCACACUCAAGACGUCUAGUUAAAUGCAGUACUUAGACAAUGUCUACUGAAGUGAUAUCUAAAACAAUGAUUUGUGAAGUGAAAUAGCUAAGACAAUGGUUAGUGGAAUGAUAGCUAAGACAGCGGUUAGUGAAGAGAGAUGUGUCGGCCUAAGACAUUGAAUGAUUGAUUAAAGAAAAAUGUGUGGCAGUGGCUACUAAAAAGAAAUAAUUCAAGACUAAAAUAUAAGAUAGUCUUGAAUGAGAUGUAUUAUGUAAGGAAGUAUUGGCUGAGAUAUUAUAAGAUACUUGACUGAGAUGUAUUAUGUAAGAUAUUGACCGAAAUGUAUUAUAUAAGAUAGCCAUGACAGAUGUAUUAUGUAAGACAGUCAUUACUGAAAUAUAUAAUUUAAGUUAGCAAUGACCAAGAUGUAUUAUGUAAGUUAGCAAUGACCAAGAUGUAUUAUGUAAGUUAGCAAUGACCAAGAUGUAUUAUGUAAGUUAGCAAUGACCAAGAUGUAUUAUGUAAGUUAGCAAUGACUGAGAUGUAUUAUGUAAGUUAGCAAUGACUGAGAUGUAUUAUGUAAGUUAGCAAUGACCAAGAUGUAUUAUGUAAGUUAGCAAUGACUGAGAUGUAUUAUGUAAGUUAGCAAUGACUGAGAUGUAUUAUGUAAAAUAUUGACUGAAAUAAAAUCUCAGUACAACCUGAGACUCAACAUAUUGUGUUCACUGGUAACAUCGUAAGUUAUUGAUUUUCAAAUCUGGUUAGCAGACGUGGGAUCUUAAUGACC